CACGUAGGUGGCAAGCGUUAUCCGGAAUUACUGGGCGUAAAGGGUCCGCAGGUGGGAUGGUCAGUCCGAUGUGACAGUACCCGGCUUAACUGGGUGAGGCCAUUGGAAACUGCCAUUCUUGGGUCACGGAGAGGGAAGCGGAAUUCCGGGUGUAGUGGUGGAAUGCGUAGAGAUCCGGAGGAAUUCCAAAGGCGCAAGCAGCUUCCUGGCCGAGGACUGACACUGAGGGACGAAAGCGUGGGGAGCAAACAGG
rnacentral:rRNA from 1 species